UACGGGGGGGGUAAGCGUUGUUCGGAAUUACUGGGCGUAAAGGGCUCGUAGGCGGCCAACUAAGUCAGACGUGAAAUCCCUCAGCUUAACUGGGGAACUGCGUCUGAUACUGGAUGGCUUGGAUUCGGGAGAGGAAUGCGGAAUUCCAGGUGUAGCGGUGAAAUGCGUAGAUAUCCGGAGGAACCCCAGAGGCGAAGGCGGCGCCCUGGCUCGCAACUGACGCUCAGACACGACAGCAUGGGGAGCGAACGGG
rnacentral:rRNA from 1 species